GUUCCUGUAGGCUAAUGGAUAGACUACCUGGCUUCGAACCAGGUGAUGUGGGUUCGAUUCCCACCGGGAAUA
rnacentral:tRNA from 1 species